GAUGAACGCUGGCGGCGUGCCUAAUACAUGCAAGUCGAGCGAACAGGCGAGGAGCUUGCUCCUCGGACGUUAGCGGCGGGCGUGUGUAUAACGCGUGUAUCACCUACCUAUAAGAGUGAUAUAUCUUCGAAACACCGGAUCUUAUAGCAUAUAAGAUAUUGAUGCACGUGGUUCAAUAGUGAGAUACGGUUGUUCUGUCACUUAUAGAUGGAUCCUCGCCUCAUUAGGUAGUUGGGAAGGUAACGGGUUACCAAGGCAACGAGGCGUAGCCGAGCUGAGAGGGGGAUAGGCAACCUGGGAAGUGAGCCACGGUCAAGACUCCUCAGGGAGGCAGCAGUAGGGAACCUUCCGCAAUGGGGGAAAGCCUGACGGAGCAACGCGGCGUGAGUGAUGAAGGUCUUCGGAUCGUAAAACCCUGUUAUUAGGGAAGAACAACUGUGUAAGUAAAUAUGCACGUCUUGACGGUACCUAAUCAGAAAGCCACGGCUAACUACGUG
rnacentral:rRNA from 1 species